AACCAUAGAAACCUGCGGAGUACCUGCGGCAGGAUCAUUACAGAGUUGCAAAACUCCCUAAACCAUUGUGAACGUUACCUAAACCGUUGCUUCGGCGGGCGGCCCGGGUCCUUCCCGGCGCCCAUCGGCCCUCGCGGGCGCCCGCCGGAGGUAAACCAAACUAUUGCAUUGUAUGGCCUCUCUGAGUCUUCUGUACUGAAUAAGUCAAAACUUUUAACAACGGAUCUCAGAUCGGAAGAG
rnacentral:misc_RNA from 1 species